rnacentral:misc_RNA from 1 species
GAAAUGCGAUAAGUAAUGUGAAUUACAAAAUUCCAUGAAUCAUUAAAUCUUUAAACGCAUAUUGCGCCCUCUGGUAUUCCAGAGAGCAUGUCUAUCCAAGCGUCAUUACUACCUUCAAGCACGGCUUAGUUGUUGAGCCAAUUAUCCUAUUAAUGGACAGGCUUAAAAUAUAAUGACGAUGCCGAGUCCUGGUGCUUAAGCAUAUGGAGUCUAUCACAAUACUUUAAUGGCCCAAUUGGUAUUUUCAUCGAUUAAAUCUUGGGGGAAAGCCUAAGAUUUAACCUCGAAUCAGGUAAGAAUACCCGCUGAACUUAA